ACUAAUCGUACAGUAGAUGGGCGCGAGUAAAACAGAACACAGGGAGAAGAACCGGUGGCAAACGAACAGGGAAAAGGGUAAAUUCGCUUUCAGAGGCAAGCGCUGCGUUGCCACACAGCGGGAAUCCUGCCCAGAGCUGCCGAAUCGGGUCCAAUCCCGUCGACCUUUCUGGCCGCCGCCGCCACUGGACUCCAUCCAGAAAUUACCUUCGAUUCGGCCGGGGCCGUGGGAGCGGGGAUGGGGCUCGGGGAGGCGGCGGGGCGGCUCCUGGCGGCCGUGGACUGGGAGCGAGAGGCCUACCCGGCGUACGACGACUUCCUCGCGCUCCCCGUCUUCGUCCUUUUCUUCCCCACCGUCCGCUACCUCCUCGACCGCUUCGUCUUCGAGUGGGUUGCAAGGAGGCUUAUAAAUAGAAAUGGACAUCAGAGCACUAAUAAUGAAACAGAAGAAGGAAGGAAGAAGAUAAGAAAAUUCAAGGAAUCAGCUUGGAAAUGUGUUUAUUUCCUGUCUGGAGAGCUUUUAGCUUUGUCGGUUACAUAUAACGAGCCUUGGUUCACCAAUACCAGAUAUUUUUGGGUAGGACCAGGAGAACAGGUCUGGCCUGAUCAAAAGAUAAAAUUGAAACUUAAGGCUGUAUAUAUGUAUGCUGCUGGAUUCUACACAUAUUCCAUAUUUGCACUUAUGUUUUGGGAAACAAGGCGUUCAGACUUUGGAGUGUCAAUGUCACAUCAUGUUGCUACUGUCGUCCUGAUUGUUCUAUCUUACGUGUUCAGAUUUGCUAGAGUUGGCUCUAUAGUAUUGGCAAUUCAUGAUGCAAGUGAUGUUUUCCUGGAAGUAGGGAAGAUGUCCAAGUACAGUCAUUGUGAUUGGCUUGCCAAUGUUUCGUUUCUGUUUUUUGUUAUUUCAUGGGUUCUUCUCCGCCUCACUUAUUUUCCAUUCUGGAUUCUGAGAAGUACAAGAUUCGCCCCAUUGCAGUGUUGGUCUGGUUCACAGUUUCUUUGUUGUGGUGCUUGUUGAGUUGCUGUGAGGUUGUGGCCUUCAUCAUCUAUGAGGUCUUGUUGACUUUGGACAAAAAGAAGCACAAUUUUGAUGGUCCUAUAUACUAUUAUGUGUUCAAUUCCCUUCUAUUUUCACUACUUGUUCUCCACAUAUAUUGGUGGGUCUUAAUAUAUCGGAUGCUUCUGAGACAAAUCAAGACAAGAAAUGUUGGAGAUGAUGUUCGAUCUGAUUCUGAAGGAGAAGACGACCAUGAAGACUGAUUGGCGUCACCAUCUUAGUUUGCAUAUUAUGUCGGUGCUAGAAGCAUCACCCCCAAUACCGUCCCUGAGCUUAUACAUUCUUUGGCUGGAUUCCAAGAAUACGUGCAGAUUAUGAGAGGACGAGCAUUUGUUCCUCACGAGAAUCACCGAAGCCGGGCUACGAUUUCUUCUGUCUCGACUGCUCAUUUGUGUUGUACUAAGUAUGCAUUAGAAACAGCGCUGCAAUGUGUUAAAAAAGUUGGAUGUCGGAUAUAACAUUCUUGUGAGUGUUCAGACAAAGUGCAGCGGUAAAUGUAGCAUUCCAGAAAAAGGACUGGCUGUAAACUAUAUGGCCUUUCUUUCGACAAACCAUUGUAAAAAUUGUGUAUGCCAGGAUAGCCUUGCUUGGGAUUUACCACAAUCCCAAUCAGAAACUGUCCCUUCUGAAGCAUGUAUUUCACCAUUCAGUGAUUCGCCUGAUGAUAAUUUGAUAAAUUCAUUUAUCCAA